rnacentral:rRNA from 1 species
AUUGAACGCUGGCGGCAGGCUUAACACAGGCAAGUCGAGCGAGCGGCGGACGGGUGAGUAAUGGCUGGGAAACUGCCUGAUGGAGGGGGAUAACUACUGGAAACGGUAGCUAAUACCGCAUACAAUAAGAUGUGCCCAGAUGGGAUUAGCUAGUAGGUGGGGUAAUGGCUCACCUAGGCGACGAUCCCUAGCUGGUCUGAGCGGAUGACCAGCCCCACUGGAACUUAUGCACGGCCAAGACUCCUACGGUAGGCUGCAGUGGGGAAUAUUGCACAAUGGGCGCAAGCCUGAUGCAUCCAUGCCGCUUGUGUGAAGAUGCCCUUCGGGUUGUAAAGCACUUUCAGCGAGGAGGCGUUACUCGCAGAAGAAGCACCGGCUAACUCCGUGCCAGCAGCCGCGGUAAUUG